CUAUACAACCUACUACUUUCC
rnacentral:miRNA from 15 species